AGAGAACUAAGGAAGUGUGAUCAUUUUGUAGAGAGAGGGUCGCCGGAGCUCGUCGCCGGAGCCACCACGUCAGUGAUCGCGUCCAGUUCGCCACCACCGAUCAUCCCCCUAGACCACCAUCGCGUUCCUCUCGACGAGACGAAUCCAUAGCCACCGAAAUCGUCGAAAUCGGAGCUCAGACGAAGCCGUACGCGCCUCCGGAAGAUCAACCCGCGCGCGCGCGUGAAACGCACGCGCCACCGUCUCCGACCACCGUUCGCCGGAGCCGCCGCGCCCGGCCGCCGUCAGUUCGCCGCCGGGAGUCCGCCGCCGCGUCGCCACCGCACCGCCGCCGCCGCCGGUGACUUUUCCGAUUUGGAGUCUAUUUGAGCAGCUGGA